GACGAACGCUGGCGGCGUGCUUAACACAUGCAAGUCGAACGGAAAGGCCCUGCUUUUGUUGGGUGCUCGAGUGGCGAACGGGUGAGUAACACGUGAGUAACCUGCCCUUGACUUUGGGAUAACUUCAGGAAACUGGGGCUAAUACCGGAUAGGAGCUCCUGCUGCAUGGUGGGGGUUGGAAAGUUUCGGCGGCUGGGGAUGGACUCGAGGCUUAUCAGCAUGUUGGUGGGGUAGUGGCUUACCAAGGCUUUGACGGGUAGCCGGCCUGAGAGGGUGACCGGCCACAUUGGGACUGAGAUACGGGCAAGACUCCUAUGGGAGGCAGCAGUGGGGAAUUUUGCACAAUGGGCGGAAGCAUGAUGCAGCAACGCCGCAUGCGGGAUGACGGCCUUCGGGUUGUAAACCGCUUUCGACUGUGACGAAGCGUGAGUGACGGUAAUGUGUCAAGAAGCGCCGGCUAACUACGUG
rnacentral:rRNA from 1 species